GAUGAACGCUGGCGGCGUGCUUAACACAUGCAAGUCGAACGGGAAACCUUUUAAUGAAGCUUCGGCAGAUUUAGCUGGUUUCUAGUGGCGGACGGGUGAGUAACGCGUGGGUAACCUGCCUUAUACAGGGGGAUAACAGUCAGAAAUGACUGCUAAUACCGCAUAAGCGCACAGGACCGCAUGGUCCGGUGUGAAAAACUCCGGUGGUAAGAUGGACCCGCGUUGGAUUAGCUUGUUGGUGGGGUAACGGCUCACCAAGGCGACGAUCCAUAGCCGGCCUGAGAGGGUGAACGGCCACAUUGGGACUGAGACACGGCCCAGACUCCUACGGGAGGCAGCAGUGGGGAAUAUUGCACAAUGGGGGAAACCCUGAUGCAGCGACGCCGCGUGAAGGAAGAAGUAUCUCGGUAUGUAAACUUCUAUCAGCAGGGAAGAUAGUGACGGUACCUGACUAAGAAGCCCCGGCUAACUACGUG
rnacentral:rRNA from 1 species